rnacentral:rRNA from 1 species
GCGAUCAUACCAGCACUAAUACAUCGGAUCCCAUCAAAACUCUGAAGUUAACCUUGCUUGGGCGAGAGCAGUACUAGGAUGGGUGACCCCUUGAGAAGUCCUCGUGUUGCACCU